UGAGGGAAAACAUAGCGACAGUACCUCAUGAAUAAGGGGCUGCUAAUCACGUGCCAGCAGCAGCGGUAAUACGUGAGCCCCAAGCGUUAUCCGGAAUUACUGGGCGUAAAGAGUGCGUAGGCGGUUGUGUUAGUCUUCUGUUUAAUCCAUCGGCUCAACCGGUGAACCGCAGAGGAAACGGCACAACUGGAGUGUGUGAGAGGUGAGCGGAACUCAUGGUGUAGGGGUGAAAUCCGUUGAUAUCAU
rnacentral:rRNA from 1 species